rnacentral:rRNA from 1 species
UACGAAGGGGGCGAGCGUUGUUCGGAUUUACUGGGCGUAAAGGGCGCGUAGGUGGCGUGAUAAGGGUGUGGUGAAAGCCCGGGGCUCAACCCCGGGUCUGCCAUGCCGACUGUCAGGCUAGAGUUCGGUAGGGGAGACUGGAAUUCCUGGUGUAGCGGUGAAAUGCGCAGAUAUCAGGAGGAACACCGGUGGCGAAGGCGGGUCUCUGGGCCGAUACUGACGCUGAGGAGCGAAAGCGUGGGGAGCGAACAGG